AAUUGGAGGGCAAGUCUGGUGCCAGCAGCCGCGGUAAUUCCAGCUCCAAUAGCGUAUAUUAAAGUUGUUGCAGUUAAAAAGCUCGUAGUUGAAUUUCGGGAUCAAUAUUUCGGUCAUGCCGUUGGUAUGCACUGUUAUCAUUGAUUUCUCACCUUCUAAAGAACCGUAAUGCCAUUAAUUUGGUGUUACGGGGAAUUAGGACUGUUACCUUGAAAAAAUUAGAGUGUUUAAAGCAGGCUCACGCUUGAAUACAUUAGCAUGGAAUAAUGAAAUAGGACAUCCGAUUCUAUUUUGUCGGUUUCUAGGAUCGAUGUAAUGAUUAAUAGGGAUAGUUGGGGGCAUUAGUAUUCAAUUGUCAGAGGUGAAAUUCUUGGAUUUAUUGAAGACUAACUACUGCGAAAGCAUUUGCCAAGGAUGUUUUCAUUAAUCAAGAACGAAAGUUAGGGGAUCGAAGACGAUCAGAUACCGUCGUAGUCUUAACCAUAAACUAUGCCGACUAGGGAUCGGAUGAUGUUAAUUUUUUAAUGACUCAUUCGGCGCCUUACGGGAAACCAAAGUGU
rnacentral:rRNA from 1 species